rnacentral:rRNA from 1 species
CAGUCGCCGCGGGAAUACGGAGGGGGCUAGCGUUGUUCGGAAUUACUGGGCGUAAAGCGCACGUAGGCGGCUUGGUAAGUUAGAGGUGAAAGCCUGGAGCUCAACUCCAGAAUUGCCUUUAAGACUGCCGAGCUAGCAGGUGAGAGAGGUAAGUGGAAUUCCGAGUGUAGAGGUGAAAUUCGUAGAUAUUCGGAAGAACACCAGUGGCGAAGGCGGCUUACUGGCUCAUACUGGACGCUGAGGUGCGAAAGCGUGGGAAGCAAACAGGAUUAGAUACCCGAGUAGUCCCUGUCUCUUAUAC